GCCGCGUCUAGGCUGAUCCCCGAAACCCCGGAACCCUUGCCGGGCUGGCGCGGCAUCAAAUUCAAGGG
rnacentral:sRNA from 1 species